rnacentral:rRNA from 1 species
UGGAUCAUCUACCUUCAGGUGGGGGAUAACCCGGGGGAAACUCGGGCUAAUACCGCAUAACAUCGCGAGAUCAAAGGGGCGCAAGUCCCGCCAGAAGAGGAGUCCGCGUUCGAUUAGCUAGUUGGUAGGGUAAUGGCCUACCAAGGCCACGAUCGAUAGCCGGCCUGAGAGGGUGAUCGGCCACACUGGAACUGAGACACGGUCCAGACUCCUACGGGAGGCAG